rnacentral:rRNA from 1 species
GACGUAGGGGGCGAGCGUUGCCCGGAUUCACUGGGCGUAAAGCGGGUGUAGGCGGUCUCUUAAGUCGGAUGUGAAAUCCUGCGGCCUAACCGCGGAACUGCAUCCGAUACUGGGAGACUUGAGGACGGUAGAGGUCGGUGGAAUUCCCGGUGUACCGGUGAAAUGGACAGAUAUCGGGAGGAACACCAGUGGCGAAGGCGGCCGACUGGGCCGAUCCUGACGCUGAGACCCGAAAGCCAGGGUAGCGAACCGG